rnacentral:rRNA from 1 species
UACGUAGGGUGCGAGCGUUGUCCGGAAUUAUUGGGCGUAAAGAGCUCGUAGGCGGUGUGUCAUGUCGGACCGUGAAAACCUGCAGCUUAACUGUGGGCGUGCGGUCGAUACGGGCAUCACUGGAGUUCGGCAGGGGAGACUGGAAUUCCUGGUGUAGCGGUGAAAUGCGCAGAUAUCAGGAGGAACACCGGUGGCGAAGGCGGGUCUCUGGGCCGAUACUGACGUGGAGGAGCGAAAGCGUGGGGAGCAAACAGG